UAAAAUUAUUUUAAAUAAUAUAUUAGAAAUGAAAUGUUAUUCGUUUUUAAAGGUAUCUAGUUUUUUAAGAAAUAAAUUUAAUUUAUAAAUUUUAUAUUAUUUAAUUUAAUAUAUUAAUUAAAUAAUUAUUUAAUUUUAAUAUUUUAUGGGAUAAGCUAUAAAAUAAAUUUUUAUAAAUUAUUAAAUAAAUUGAUAAAUAUAAACUUAGAAAUAGUUAUUGUUAAUAAAAAUGUUAUAAUUUAUUUUUUUUAUUAUAUUAUUUAUUUAUAUUUUAAAAUUUUUAUUAAAAUAUUUAUUUUAAUAUUAAAAAUAAAAUAAUAAUGAUAAAAUUAGUAUAUUUAUAUUGUAUAGAUAAAUAUAAUUGAUAAGUUUUUAUAAAGAACUCGGCAAAAAUAAUAUUCGCCUGUUUAACAAAAACAUGUCUUUAUGAAUUAUAUUUAAAGUCUAACCUGCCCACUGAAUUAAAUUUAAAUGGCCGCAGUAUUUUGACUGUGCAAAGGUAGCAUAAUAAUUAGUCUUUUAAUUGAAGGCUAGAAUGAAUGGUUGGACGAAAUAUUAACUGUUUCAUAAAAAUUUUUAUUUGAAUUUUAUUUUUUAGUUAAAAAGCUAAAAUUUAUUUAAAAGACGAGAAGACCCUAUAAAUCUUUAUAUUUAAAUUAUUAUAAUUUUUUAGAAAUAUUUUAUUAUUAUAAUUAAUAAUAUUUUAUUGGGGUGAUAUUAAAAUUUAAUAAACUUUUAAUUUAUAUUUUACAUUAAUUUAUGAAUAAAUGAUCCGUUAUUAACGAUUAAAAAAAUAAGUUACUUUAGGGAUAACAGCGUAAUUUUUUUGGAGAGUUCAUAUCGAUAAAAAAGAUUGCGACCUCGAUGUUGGAUUAAGAUAUAAUUUUAGGUGUAGCCGCUUAAAUUUUAAGUCUGU
rnacentral:rRNA from 1 species